ACCCCACCCUAAUCUUGUUAUGCAAAUAGGCUUCCCACUUGGCAGGGGCCGUCUUGUCCACUCGUUUCUGUAAACAUGGGUGGCAAAAAGAGAAGAUGGAGCUGCCAUUUAGAACAUGCCUAAUCCCAGCUUCAUCUUGCUGAGCAAAAAUGAAGGAGCCUGGACCCAACUUUGUUACUGUGAGAAAGGGUCUUCAUUCAUUCAAGAUGGCAUUUGUUAAGCACCUACUACAAACCUUGGAAAUCAAGAAAGUUCUGGAAUGAUGAAGCUGUUCAUGCCAAGACCGAAAGUGCUGGCCCAGUAUGAGUCCAUUCAGUUCAUGCCGUGACAAUUUUCUUGGAACUCCUUUUUAUUGUUAGUUCUCACUUGUUUCCAUAUUUAGUGAAUGUACAUUUAAUUGCAAAGCUGUCAUUAAUAAAAAUUCUUAUAGUACCUCA
rnacentral:lncRNA from 10 species